rnacentral:lncRNA from 1 species
UUUUUUUUACUUAAGGUUCUCAUUUCUCAGUUACUAAGGUUCUCGUUUUCUCCUUCGUUGUGAGUAAGCAUCUCACGUCUUACCAACUGAGCCGCACUUCAUUGUCAGUGAGGUGCAUUCAGUUAAGGGUAGGCUUCUGGAACUUUCCAUGAACAAAUACUCUCUUCAUCACCUUUCCAUUGCGCCGGUUUACUGCCUUGACACAGCAGUAUUCAAGUUCAACCUACAACAAUCAUCUCCAACUCAAUCAAUACAUUAUCCAAACUAAUAAUGCUGCUAAAUGUCUGAAAACUAAUAUCUUCCUCUAGUUCGUAUCGAGCUAAAACAUGCAACAAAUCGAAGUGAAACUAAAAUCCUCUUCAAAAUGAGCAAAAUGGAUGAAUCUAGAGAUGA